rnacentral:rRNA from 1 species
UACGUAGGGGGCAAGCGUUGUCCGGAAUCAUUGGGCGUAAAGAGCGUGUAGGCGGCCAGAAAAGUCCGCUGUGAAAACUCGAGGCUCAACUUCGAGCUGUCGGUGGAAACUUUCUGGCUAGAGUCCGGAAGAGGAGAAUGGAAUUCCUGGUGUAGCGGUGAAAUGCGCAGAUAUCAGGAGGAACACCGGUGGCGAAGGCGGGUCUCUGGGCCGAUACUGACACUGAGGAGCGAAAGCGUGGGGAGCGAACAGG